GUUAGAGAAAACCAGUCGGGCAGACACCUUCCAAGCCACCCCAACGCCACCUCAAGCCACCCCGACCCUCCGGACCGGACCCAGCAGCACUGGCCAGCUCCCGCCAUCAACCCCAGCCCGUCCGCCGCCCCUGCUGCUGUCUGGAGUUGCUGGAAACUGCAGGAAAACGCAGCAGUUUUGGCCGAUUUUCCAACCUCAGUUUCUCCCUCAUCCGGCCACCAAAUCAGUCGUGUGAGGCAGCAGAGGCCAAACUGAGCCACAUGAGGGACCUUCAAGAGGUCCAGCUAGACCGGACCAGCAGCAGUAGACGUGCACAGAAAUCCACCACCAGGCCCUCUCCAGCUCCCACGCUACUUACAAGAUGUAGGAUUAGUUGUAAGCUACUUAAAGUCUUGUAAAUAAUUAGUAACUGCUCUGAUAUCUGGUUGGAUUAGAUAACCAGAACUGGUGAAUAUUUAGUUACCCUAUUCUGGCAGUUGGUGUGGUUUUA